AGACUGAGAACCCCUGCACUAGUUGUUUUAUGUUGAGUAGAAUGUGAGAUUAAUCCUGUCAGCAUAUACUGUAUAGGCUCUGUUAUCAUAUUUCUAAUGAGAAAUCAAAAAAGUGCCAUGCUGAACGGCUGCCUCAGUGAGUUGAUUCAUCAUCGCUGCUCCCCAGACAAACACCUCUAAUUGGCUCAUUCCCCUGCACUCAACCAGACACAAAGGUUUCCAGGUUUGUCAGCUGCUGUGGGCUCACUGCGAGUGGAGGAGAGGAGUCUUAAUGCAGCGGUGAGCAGGCCUGAAAGGCAUGAUGUCAAUCUAAACUGGAAGGAUGCAUGCUGAUCAGUGUUGAAACCCAUCAUACCCGGCUCCUUGCCUCUGCUUUUCUGCUCAUGACUGUCAGGGAAUUCUUCAAAAACAAUGCCAAGGAAGCACAGUACAAACUCUCUGCAUCCUUUAAAACUUGAACUCUUCAUAAAAGGAGCAACUGGAGCACUGCAGGAAAGCACAAUGGACUUUUUUUCAGGCACACCUUGACAGAAAAAAAUAAAUUAAAAAAAGGGAUCUCAGCCUCUUAAGGCCAGGAGGAAGACAGUAUCUCUCCCAUCAGUCGAGGUGGGUCAGAGGAGAAAAGUUGCUCCUGUCCAGCAGUGAAGGAGACUUGAAAGCUCUUUUCCACCCACUCCCUGACUGUGGUCAUCAGCGUAUGUACUGGAGAGGAGGCCCAAUUCCACCUGUGACGCCAAAAAGAGGUUAAUUAUGCUUUACAGAUGAUCUGUAAAUGAGUAGCAGUGUCAUUCUUCGAUUCUCAGCAAUUAUCACCAGGAUUUGAAAAAAAUAAUAAAAAGCUGAAGAGUUGGAGUGCUGCCUGGAACUUAUGACUUUGUUUCUAAGAUGGUGCUCUUUGGUUUAUGGAUAAACUUGUCCACAGUUUUUUGCCAGCACCUCCAAAAACUACUUGGCUGUCUGCUAGACCCUGUGGCAGCAUUAGGUGUGGUCAGUGUAAUCACUGCUCCAGUGUGAUCAAAUGUAAAAACUUUCAGGAUACACACGGAGACAAAAUGUAUGAAAUUUAUUAACUGUAAAACAACAUCUGUUAUUUACAAAUUGGAAUGUCCACUCUGCAAUGUGUUUUAUAUUGGCAGAACUAAACACAGACUACAGGAUAGAGUCUCAUAGCAUAAAUAUGUGAUAAAAACUAAAAAUGACAACUAUCCAAUGGCUCGUCAUUUUAAAAAUAAACAUUACAGUGAUCCCUCCAUCCUAAGGGCUAUAGGUAUUGAUCAUAUAUCACAAACCACAAGGGGAGACAAUAGGCUGAGGCAACUAAAUCAACAAGAGAGUUUCUGGAUCUUUAAGUUAAAGGCAACCCUUUAUCCAGGUCUUAAUGAAGAUCUACAAUAUUGCCAUUUCCUGUAAAGACUUA